GAAUAAAAUUCGAGGCAUAAUGUUGUACUCACCUAAACCUAUAACGUUGGAACUUCAUGCUCAAGCUUUCAGAAGGAUGAAAAAUAAUAAAUUUCUUAUACUUAAUAAUGUACAUAUUGAUGGAUGUCUGGAAUAUCUCCCAAACAGUUUAGUAUUGCUGGAGUUGUCUCAUUGUUCCUUUUCCUUGCCAUCCAAUGUUACUAUGGCUUAUGUAUUGCCUUUCCCCAAAUACCUAACUCGAUUUGCCAAAUUGCAGGUUAUUGCUAAAAAAAUUGCAAAAUGGAAGCAAGUGGAAGUGAGAUACCAAAUGAGUUUUGCACAUCGGGUUGCCUUCUUGAUUGGUUCCUUUCAAGCACCAAGGAGUGAGAUUCCAGAUGAGUUCAACCACCAGAGCGAUGGAAAUUCUAUUUCAUUCGUGGUUGGUCGGAAUUGUAGAUAUCCAUAUCCUUUUGCUGUCUGUGUUGCCCUUAGACUGACAGACCGAUCUUGUAAUUGUCAUGUUUGGGUUGACGUCAAUGGUUUCAUAAUUGACGGUCGUUAUGCCUGCUUAGAAAAAGUGAACCUUAUCGUCUAAUGUUUUUUUUUUUUGGAUAUCUUUGUGGACGGGAUGAGUUAAAGCUAUCUAAACAGAGUCAUUUUAAGGUUACCUGUAGAUUCAUUAGUUAUGAUCACCCAAUGGAUGCUACAGCUAUCAUAAAAAAGUUGGGGGCCCAUGUAGAAUGCAUCUAUUGUCCUCAUAAAUCUUCCAUCCCUGAUUCCCUACCUUUACUACCUCUGUUCCCCACUUCUUGCAAUGAAGGAGAUUCAGGGCAUGCAAUUGCAAUGGAAACAACAAAUACUAUUAGGUUUGAAUAUGGUUUGAAGGGAUUUCAAGGUGAUUUGAAUAUGUCAUUAUCCAUCCCUAUUGGCCCCGAGGUCCACCCUUCAAUACCACUUCCUUAUUCCUCAAAUAUGGAUCAUAAGGCUUUCGAAACUGUAAGUGAUUUGGGGCAUUUGAAGGACUUUCGCAAUAAUGGGUAUGAUUUGAGUUUGUCACAAAAUGAUUCAGAUGCAAGUGAACGAGAGCCUCCUCAAGUACCUGAUACAUCUAAUGGGUCUAAUUUUGGGUUGGACCAAAUAGAUUUGGUAGGCUCAACUGUUAAUGGUGGGUUUGAUUUGGGUUCAUCUUCAAUGACCCAUGAAUUUGUGAAUGAUGACUUUGAUUUGAAUCUGUCUCCACCCUCAAAGAAAAAGGGGACAUCUUGAUCAAGCUUUGAAGAAUUAUGCCUCUCUUCCUUCCCCUGAUUCCUAUCGCCUCCAACUCCAAGUUAGUUCCCUUCACUUGAGGAAGAGAAAUAAGAAGAAUGGUGCAGGUGGUGGUAUAACCAUGGUCCCCUGGUCCUAUGCUAAUAGAGGUUAAGAACGUUCUUCAAACUUAGGUACGGCCUUUAUUUUUCUCUUUUUAAAAAAUUGGAAUUCUAGAGGGUUUUGUAGGAUUGUUGAAGUUGGAAGAGUGAGAUAAAUGGGUUUAUUGAGAUUUGAGGAUCAGUUAAAUGAUGGAGCUUGCAUAUGUUCUUUUCAAGAGAGAAUGUGCUAUCAAUUUUUUGUUAUUUU